rnacentral:rRNA from 1 species
AGCGAACGCUGGCGGCAGGCUUAACACAUGCAAGUCGAGCGGGCGUAGCAAUACGUCAGCGGCAGACGGGUGAGUAACGCGUGGGAACAUACCUUUUGGUUCGGAACAACACAGGGAAACUUGUGCUAAUACCGGAUAAGCCCUUACGGGGAAAGAUUUAUCGCCGAAAGAUUGGCCCGCGUCUGAUUAGCUAGUUGGUGAGGUAACGGCUCACCAAGGCGACGAUCAGUAGCNGGUCUGAGAGGAUGAUCAGCCACAUUGGGACUGAGACACGGCCCAAACUCCUACGGGAGGCAGCAGUGGGGAAUAUUGGACAAUGGGCGCAAGCCUGAUCCAGCCAUGCCGCGUGAGUGAUGAAGGCCCUAGGGUUGUAAAGCUCUUUUGUGCGGGAAGAUAAUGACGGUACCGCAAGAAUAAGCCCCGGCUAACUUCGUGCCAGCCGCCGCAGUAAU